GAAGCCCUCAGUGUACAGAAAGCAAGCGACGUCAAGAUGUGAGGAGCGGCUAUGUGGCUCCUGCUCCGCCUCCUUGCUAAAGUUGUUUUCUGUGCUACUGGGCCAUUCGGCGGCGCGUGAUGAUUGGCAGAGCAGCUGUAACUCUCAUGAGGGGGCGAUACAUGAUUGGUUCCCUUCCAGCUUCCCUCGUGGCACCCUGGUAUGAAGAGUGAGCCGGGAAGUACAUCAGCUGCAUACAGGAUAACAUUGCGGACAUCUGGACAAAUGCGGCGCUAAUGCUGGAGAAGUU